AGCAGCCGCGGUAAUUCCAGCUCCAAUAGCGUAUAUUAAAGUUGUUGCAGUUAAAAGCUCGUAGUUGAAUUUCGGGGUCAGUAGGUUGGUCAUGCCACUGGUAUGUACUGGUCUCACUGAUUCCUCCUUCCUGAUGAACUGUAAUGCCAUUAAUUUGGUGUUGCAGGGAAUCUGGACUGUUACUUUGAAAAAUUAGAGUGUUUAAAGCAGGCUAACGCCUGAAUACAUUAGCAUGGAAUAAUGAAAUAGGACGUUCGAUCCUAUUUUGUUGGUUUCUAGGAUUGACGUAAUGAUUAAUAGGGAUAGUUGGGGGCAUUAGUAUUCAAUUGUCAGAGGUGAAAUUCUUGGAUUUAUUGAAGACUAACUACUGCGAAAGCAUUUGCCAAGGAUGUUUUCAUUAAUCAAGAACGAAAGUUAGGGGAUCGAAGACGAUCAGAUACCGUCGUAGUCUUAACCAUAAACUAUGCCGACUAGGGAUCGGAUGAUGUUAAUUUUUUAAUGACUCAUUCGGCGCCUUACGGGAAACCAAAGUGUUU
rnacentral:rRNA from 1 species